rnacentral:rRNA from 1 species
ACUCAAAUGAAUAGACGGGGGCCCGCACAAGCGGCGGAGCAUGCUGCUUAAUUCGAUGCGACGCGAAGAACCUUACCUGGGCUUGACAUGCAGGGUGAAACCGGUGAAAGCCGGCGCUCUUCGGAGCCUGCACAGGUGGUGCAUGGCUGUCGUCAGCUCGUGCCGUGAGGUGUUGCCUUAAGUGGCGCAACGAGCGCAACCCCUGUCCUUAGUUGCCAGCGGAUAAUGCCGGGAACUCUAGGGAGACUGCCGGUGCCAAACCGGAGGAAGGUGGGGAUGACGUCAAGUCAUCAUGCCCCUUAUGUCCAGGGCUGCAAGCAUGCUACAAUGCGCGGUACAAAGGGCGGCGAUCCCGUGAGGGGGAGCGAAUCCCAGAAAGCCGCGCUCAGUUCGGAUCGAGGUCUGCAACCCGACCUCGUGAAGUCGGAGUCGCUAGUAAUCGCAGAUCAGCACUGCUGCGGUGAAUACGUUCCCGGGCCUUGCACACACCGCCCGU